AAAUUUAUUUAAGGUCUAACCUGCCCAGUGAUUUUAUUAAAUGGCCGCAGUAUUUUGACUGUGCGAAGGUAGCAUAAUCAUUAGUUUCUUAAUUGGAAGCUUGUAUGAAUGGUUGGACGAGAUAAAUACUGUCUCUUUUUAAUAUUUAGAAUUUGAUUUUUCAGUAAAAAAGCUGAAAUAUUUUUAAAAGACGAGAAGACCCUUUAAAGCUUUAUAUAUUUUAUUAUUAUUAUUUUUAAUAUUUGUUAAGGUUUUAAUAUUAAAAUUUAUUUGAUUGGGGAAAUUAAAAGAUUAAUUUAAUUCUUUUUUUAUUUUUACAAUGAUUUUUGAUUUUUUGAUCCAUUAUUAUUGAUUAUAAGAUUAAGUUACUUAAGGGAUAACAGCGUAAUUCUUUUGGGGAGUUCAUAUCUAUAAAAGAGUUUGCGACCUCGAUGUUGGAUUAAAAUUAAAUUUGGGUGUAGAAUUUCAAAUUUUUUGGUCUGUUCGACCAUUAAAAUUUUACGU
rnacentral:rRNA from 1 species